rnacentral:rRNA from 1 species
UGGGGAAUUUUGGACAAUGGGCGAAAGCCUGAUCCAGCAAUGCCGCGUGUGUGAAGAAGGCCUUCGGGUUGUAAAGCACUUUUGUCCGGAAAGAAAUCCUUGGCUCUAAUACAGUCGGGGGAUGACGGUACCGGAAGAAUAAGCACCGGCUAACUACGUGCCAGCAGCCGCGGUAAUACGUAGGGUGCAAGCGUUAAUCGGAAUUACUGGGCGUAAAGCGUGCGCAGGCGGUUUGCUAAGACCGAUGUGAAAUCCCCGGGCUCAACCUGGGAACUGCAUUGGUGACUGGCAGGCUAGAGUAUGGCAGAGGGGGGUAGAAUUCCACGUGUAGCAGUGAAAUGCGUAGAGAUGUGGAGGAAUACCGAUGGCGAAGGCAGCCCCCUGGGCCAAUACUGACGCUCAUGCACGAAAGCGUGGGGAGCAAACAGGAUUAGAUACCCUGGUAGUCCACGCCCUAAACGAUGUCAACUGGUUGUCGGGCCUUCAUUGGCUUGGUAACGUAACUAACGCGUGAAGUUGACCGCCUGGGGAGUACGUCGCAAGAUUAAACUCAAUGAAUUGACGGGGUCAUAGCUGUUUCCU